rnacentral:rRNA from 1 species
UAGCUUGCUAAUUAAGAUCUUAGUGGCGGACGGGUUAGUAACACGUGAGAACCUACCCUUUAGACAGGAAUAGCCCAUGGAAACGUGGAUUAAUGCCUGAUAGUCUCUAUGGAGUAAAUGGUGCCUUCGGGUAUCGCUAAAGGAUGGGCUCGCGGCCUAUCAGCUUGUUGGUGAGGUAAAGGCUCACCAAGGCGACGACGGGUAGCUGGUCUGAGAGGACGAUCAGCAACACUGGAACUGAGACACGGUCCAGACACCUACGGGUGGCAGCAGUCGAGAAUCAUUCACAAUGGAGGCAACUCUGAUGGUGCAACGCCGCGUGGAGGAUGACGGUCCUAGGAUUGUAAACUCCUGUCAUUGGGGAGUAAGACUUAAGCGUUAAGAGCGUUUAAGUUUGAUAGUACCCAAAGAGGAAGGGACGGCUAACUUCGUGCCAGCAGCCGCGGUAAUACGAAGGUCCCAAGCGUUGUUCGGAAUCACUGGGCGUAAAGCGUGUGUAGGCUGCGCGGAAAGUCAAAUGUGAAAGCCCGGGGCUCAACCUCGGAACUGCAUUCGAUACUCCCGUGCUAGAGUAAUGGAGAGGUAAGUGGAAUUCCUGGUGUAGCAGUGAAAUGCGUGGAUAUCAGGAGGAACAUCAAUGGCGAAGGCAACUUACUGGACAUUUACUGACGCUCAGACACGAAGGCUAGGGUAGCGAAAGGGAUUAGAUACCCCUGUAGUCC